UAGUGGGAUUGGAAUAGAGAACGCCCAGAAAGACAUUAAGAACUCUCUGUGGUGAAAUUUGUGCAGCUCCACACCAAAAACCAUGAUGAUACAGAACAUUUAUUUUGCAUUUCCAUGGUAGCGCAUCCAGUGUGGUGAUACAUAUUUUUAAGGGAUGAAGAUUAAAAAUCUUGGGAUGUUCAAAGCCGCUGCAAAUGCAUAAGAAGUGAGAAAAAGGAUGAACUCCCAGGUGAGCCCAGGCACAGCCAUGUGUAGAGGAGUGUCAUCACCAUCCUUUUGGGAGACAAGCAGCAAUGCCUGAUGCAGGACACCAGCCCCUUUUUUUGCCUCACUGAAGAAGCUCCGUGAAAAAAAAAUUUUUGGGAGCCACAUCCACUGAUACAGUUGCAGGUGUGGUUAGAGCACCAGGUAUGACGUGGACUAUGUCUGAGAGAAGCUCUGGGCAAGUCAGCACCUGCACUGCUAGACUUGAACUAACCUAAGACAUCUCCCUGGGAAAGAAUAUGGAGUGUGUCCUGCUAGUCAU